GGUCUGAGUGCCAGUAACACAUGUGUUAUCCUGCUAGCUGUAGAAAUGUAACUUGAUAAACAUUUAACACUGUAAUCUUAAAAGUGUAAAGAAAAAAAAAACACACACACAUUCACAAUUCUCCAGAAACUUCUUAUGUAGAAUACAGUUUUAAACAUGUUUAUGUUAAUGACAUUUUACCCACACAAAUUUAAUCUAUGCAAACCUGAGCAUCUCUUCCGAUUGGACAAUGCUUCCUAGACAUCUUGUCAAUGAUAACAUAUCAAACAAUCCUAACUGUUUCCAAUUCUUGUCUUUUCCCACGGUGAAAGAACACAUCUUUGCAACUUUCCAGAGGUCCUCUGGGAAAUCUCAAAGGCAAUUUUGGGCACUGAGGAGGCUGAGAAGACUGUGCUUGACUGUUAGCUGAAACAACUUUUGGCUGUUUGGCAGAGGACUAACAGGCCCUCUGCUUUAUGUGAAUUUCUCACUUUAACUUGUUUGCUCCAUUUUGGGUGCAGACCCAGCCCCAUGUGCCUGACCACAAACCAACAUUUCCUGUCUCAAUUCUCCUAUUCAUAUAACGUUUGAGGACGUUUGUUAAGUUUUAAGAAUUCCCUCCCACCCCCAGAUUUUCGCAGGGUUUUGUUGAUUUCCCCUCAACUUUCCACAGGUAUCUUAAAAGCUUUGCUCACUCAUCCCUUCUCUGACUUAGGAUUUGAGCAUCUUUCUGUUAUGCUGUUGCCCCACUCCUAUUGCAAUACUCCCCUUCUUAAGAAAGUUUUUCUAGACUAAUGUCUAGAUUAAACUUCUUUUCUUUGACAAUAAUGAUGCCAUGACUUGGACAAAAUGCCCAUUGCCUCUGGGUCCUGCUUUCUUCACCCAGUGCUGCCUUAUUGGACUCCUUGUGCCUCUCCUUGGCUGGGGAAAUCAGAAUACACAGUGGUAAGUCAUGAUUUCUAAUCCAGUGCUCCAGACGUCUGUCUGUUGUAGCACAGUGAGAAGUUGACUUAUAUUUCUCUCAUUUUUGUCAUUUUCUUCUGUUUUUCCAUCUUUCCCUUCUGCCUUUUUUGAGUGUGGUGAAAGCCCCUCAUUCUCUCCUGAGAAUCAUACCUGAGUUGAAAUCCCAAAGCCUCUAGCACCAGCAGGUGUCCCUUCCAUUAUCAUGAGAAACCGUCAAUUUGGCUGUUGUUCUCCAGAACCCUCAACUCUGGGGUAUGCUCUGUGUUACUAUGGUAAUAAUUCCACCCACUUUCUUCCAAAAAAAAAAAUGGCAAUAUUUUACAACUUAAAUUUCAAUGGCCUCUUUGGAGAACGUAGAAUUUUUCCAAAUUGCCUCAUUCUGCGAAGGGCAAUUGAAUCCUGUGCCACCAAGAUCUCAUCCAAGCAAUAGAUGCUUUGUUAGUGGUGGUGGGCAUUUGGUACAAAGAGGCAGAAAAAAAAAAUGCUCUCUCUCAAAAACUUUUCAGUGACCAUUGCUUCUUUCAAAGACAGUCAUCCUUCCCCAAUCUGUGACCUGUGUCUUCUCAUCACCUAUCCCCCAAUCUCUCUUUUCUACCAUCUUCCAUGUUCCCUUCAGCUCCCUUUAAUCCUUGGAUCUUCCUCUUUCAACCCUCUAUCUCCUCCACCUUUCCAUCCACUCCUGCCAGACCUUUCCUCUCCCACUCUGGCCCCUCAAUUCCUUAUAAUCCCUUGAGCUUUAAGUCCUGUCCCUUCAUGGGAGGCUCUAGAGAAGCCCAGGGGCACUAAGAGCAACAGCCUGAGGCUAAAAAGGCUCACCGGAAACAGGCUGAAUGUUUUAUCCCCUCAGGUGGGCUCUGGAGACACCAGAUGACCGCUUGGUCUCUCCUCCAUGCCUCCCUUGAAAUUGAGUCCACAGCUUCCCUAGAAUUAUACACCAGAGCCAAGGGUAGCUUAUGGGUCUCCUACACAAAUAUUGGUGAAGAUGCUUCAGUUCUCAUACUGAACAGGUUACUUCAACUUGCCCCAUCUACCAAAAAUAUUAUCCUUGUAAAAAUAUAAACGUGAGGCAAUGCUUAUGCCCAGGCUGGAGUGCAAUGGCGUGAUCUCAGCUCACUGCAACCUCUGCCUCCCAGGUUCAAACAAUUCUCCUGUCUCAGCCUCCCAAGUAGCUGGGAUUACAGGGUAGUGCCACCACACUUGGCUGUUUUUGUAUUUUUAGUAGUGACGGGUUUUCACCAUGUUGGCCAGGAUGGUCUCGAUCUCUUGACCUCAUGAUCCACCCGCCUCGGCCUCCCAAAGUGCUGGAAUAACAGAUGUGAGCCACCACGCUCGGCCUAAUAUCCUAUUUUCUGGACAUAAGAAAACCCCUCCUCUUUUUUUUAAGCUAUUCAUCACUCAUAACAAUUUCAUAGACCAUGCUAAUUUCUUGUAAACAGAAAUGAAACUUCUUUCUUUUCUUCCCUGACUCACCCAUUCAAAAUUUGGAAAUUCUCCUUGAGUCUUCUUAUUUUCAUGGCAAUAUGGUUAUUUGCAUAGAUUCAGUAAGAGUCUGUCCUCUUUGUUAACAGGGCACAAAAACAUUGGUAAUACAACCAAGGCUUUGCCUGGAUGUCAUAUUUGAGAGUGACGCUUAUUUAAUCAGAUAUGACCAGACACUUUUAAGGAACUAAGGUUGACCUUAUAGGGCCAAUGCUUACAAAGCUCCUCUUGCGAAAACUGGCUUGAAACCUGGCUUUGCAGGGUUUGCAGCUUUGCAGGUGAGCAAGGAAUGUCACUUCCCAGCAGGCUCUGGAAUCUUAGGAUAUUUGUGGGAUCUCAAGAAGAAAGGAAUGCCUGCCAAAUCGAUAGGUACUGCAUGUGAAAUCUGAUGUGAGUUGUUGGCUUGGCUUCUUAUCCUCAAGAGGCUUUGAAAAGUCCAAUUUGACAUUCUUUAUGAAAACUUCCAGCAAAGCAAAUAUAAUAUGAUCUAUAUGUAAAUUGCUGCUCUUGCAGCACCUAUGCAAAUAACCAGGCCGAAUCUCAUGAGACCAACCUUAAUUUGUGAUCAAGAAUAAUCUUUCUUUGAGAUUGUCUUUGAUCAAAAGAGGAGGAGUAACUGUAGAAAGAAAAUUUGUGUUUCCAUGGGAAAUCAUAGCACAUCUUUCUGGAUUAUCAGAUUCUGAUCCUGUUAAUUUGUGUUUGAGCUAUUUAGUGCCUCUUGGUAAACUGAGAGUAACUGAUAGUUAUGCAAACUCUCUCUUCUCUAGUAGAGAUUUAAUUGACUUUCUCUCACACUAUGGGACAAUCAGUUUUUGUAACUACUAAUAAAUUGUACUUGAAUCUGUUAUCUUGCACAAAUUGUCCACUUUUACUAAAUUUUCAAAUCUUCCAAUUUCCCUCAAUAUCUAGCCAUAAACCCCUCAACUAACGUUCCAAUUUUUCUCCUUUUUUGUUACUCAUAGUCACUGAGAAAACUUUACUAUCCAGAUGACAGUUAAGACCCUAGGUUGCCUUGUGGCUGGCCCCCAGUCUCUGAAGUAUUACUACAAUCUCAAGUCUGAUGACUUGUUAUAAACAUAUAAAGACCCAUCAUUGCUAGCAGACUAUGCAUGGUUCUCUUUUUCUCUGGACAAGCCCUGACUGGACCACAAAAAAAGGAUGGGAAAUGCUCAGGUCACGCAUGUUCUGAUAGAAGAGGUAAUCCAGGCUCUGGGCAACAUUACCAAGAGCAUCAAAACGCUCAAAGAGCAAUGCUACAUGAUCAAAAGGGCUCAUCCACUAACCCCCUGAAAUCCCCUGAAAUGGAUACCCUUGGGUUCAACUUCUGUCUUUCUCAGUUUAAUCUCUCUUUCUAUAUUAACAUUUCUCUUUUUUCCUUUUAGGUAUCCCACUUCUAAGAUGCCUGAUCUGAAGGACAGUAAAACAACUGACCUUUGCCAGCAUGUAAAACACAUGGUUUAACUAGUCCUCCAGGAACAACACUGAGCAAUCCUGACCUGGGACUACUUUACUCGGCCAUCUCCUACUUGAGAUGCUCCUUGUCUCUCUGUUCAAGGACACCUUUUCUGAGCCUUUCUUGAACAAGAGUGGAGGACCGAUAGGGCGAUUAAACUGUCCUUGACACAACUUUAGGUUGGUUUGCCUAAACUACUAGGUUCUCAAUCUAUAUGAACCUCCUCCAGCAUUCUAAUUUGUUUGCUCUGUCUUAGACCCAGAAUCCCACCCCAUGUGCCUAACCAUAGACCAAUCUUCCUGCCUUAACUUCUCUGCUACCAAUUUUGAUGUAGCCCAGUAAGUUUCAGCAUCAUCCCUCACCACCCCACAGUCCCUCACCCUGCCCCCACCCCCACCACACACACACAUACCAGCUCUUAGCAUCAAAUCCCCUUCCAUUUUCCAUAAGCAUCUCUUCCCAGGUCUCUGCAUAUAAAAGCUAUGUUUGCUCACCCCAUGCCUGAGACUUUCCUGGCUUAGAUCUUGAGCAUCUUUCUAUUAUAAGAUUCUCCCUUAGUAAUGAUUUCCUCACUUAACUUCAGAUUUGUACAUUUUUUUUUCAUUGACAGUGCAAAAGAUACCAUUUAGGAUUUGAUUUUCAGAAGGUAAAAUAUAAAACAUUGUCAGGAAAUUCGAAUACUUAAUUAAGUAGGAUAAUGGAUUACUGAGAAAUAGUACUUGGUUAUCUAUUUAAUCAAAUGAUGUAAAAUAAUUUUAGAGUAGAUAUAGGAGGUAACAUAAUUGCAAAGAACUUCAUCUCUUUUAUAUGAAGACUGUUCUCUUAAAUAAUCAAGGACUCGAAAAAGUCAGCACAAAGCAUGGAAAAUUAUUCUGAUGAGAUUCUGAAUGUUUAUCUUCUAAGAAGAUUACUCAGAAGGUAAAGAAAAAUAUUUUACAAGCUCUUACUAAGAGAAUACACUAAUCCAAAAAAAUUAUUUUAAUAGAGAAUAAAACAAAUUCUAGUUUUGCAUCUGCAUAUUUGAUACUAAUGCUUAUAUUAAACAUUUUGUAAACAAACCCAUUAAACUUCAGCCAGCUGUGACUACAAGAAAUAAAAUUUCCUAUCCAUGAACCUUCUACAGCUUUCUCUAUCUAGUUAGGGUUUUGUAGGGUUUUGCCCUACACUUUCCCCUUUCUCAUCCUGGAAUAACUACUCAUUUUACUUCAGAAAAAAAUUACUCUUGUUUUCCUUAACAAAAAAAUAUCCUGCAUACCUUGCACUCAAAAUGUUCCUUUCUGCCACAGUCACUUCUACUAGAGUCUCAUUCAUCUUAUUGACAUAUAUUGAUUAUAACUUUUUUUUUUUUUUGAGACAGUCUCGCUCUAUCACCCAGGCUGAGUGCAGUGGUGUAAUUUUGGCUCACUGCAACCUCCGCCUCCCGGGUUCAAGCAGUUCUCCUGCCUCAGUCUCCUGAGUAGUUGGGAUUACAGGCGUGCGCCACCAUGCCCAGUUACUUUUUUUAUUUUUAGUAGAGGCGGGGUUUCACCAUUUUGGUCAGGCUGGUCUCAAACUCCUGACCUCAUGAUCCGCCCGCCUCGGCCUCCCAAAGUGCUGGGAUUACAGGUGUUAGCCACCGUGCCCGGCCUUGAUUAUUUUUAACUACGGUAACUCCUAUUGCAUAGAGAAACUUUGGAGGUAGUAUAAAAGAAAAGUUACUGGAUAUGUAUUAAAACAGCCAGAUAGAUCUUAUUCAAACUGCUGCAGUAGGAGAGAGAGGUUUCUGUAUGGAACUGAGCUCAACUUCUAAUACAGCAAAGACAGUUGUGGAUUUAUAGCCAAGGAGUAGAGCAAGGUGGUAAGCAGAUGGAAAUUUACUAAGAACUUACCUAGAUAUCAAAGGUAGAGGGAUUCUUGCUAAACUGGCUUAAUAAAAUUAUUUUAAAUAAUAAAACUGUUAAUUAAUAAAACUAUUAAUAAUAAAACUACUUUCUAAAACUAAGAUAUCCAGAGUGGAGAGUGAGAAACUUGAUCAAAUAUCCAGUAGUCUAAUAUCAAGAAUUAGUAAAUUCUUGAUAAAUUCGCUAAGCAGGAAUCUUUACUAAAACUCGGCUGGGCAGGCCAAGGUCAAAGUCUACUUAGGAAGAAUGCUCCAAGGAGCCUAACUCAAGUUUGGUCAAGGGAAGAGUCUUUUUCAGUGGAUAAUUGUGAACUAUUUUCAUACACACUAUUUCGUAGCAGACUAAUAGAUCUUAUGAAUAUACAUCUCAUUAUUUUUGCAGUAAUAAACAUCCCUAUAAUAAAACUCACUGUAGCAAAAAAUAAACAUGCUCAUUAACACACCCAAAUAUAUAGGCUCUCCGUAUUAUAUAAAAAAUAAGCAGCAAAAAGUCUACAAGCAGAAAAUUAUACUUAGUAAUUAAUGCUUCAGUAUUUUAUUAUAGUUAGAUAAUCUAGGUAUCUAAUGAAUGCCCAUUAAUUAACCAAAUUUAGCAUCAGUCUAAAGUUUUAUGUUAUCAAAAGAUCUUGGUCUUGAGCCAGGAUGACACACUAUAAAAUGUAAUUAGUUACUUUUGAAUUAACAUUUGUCAAAACAGUGAUUCAAUUUAACUAAAUGCAAAUUUAUAUUUUUAUAAUUAUAAACAUAUAGUAACUAAAAUGAUAGAUUAUUAAACCAAGAAAGCUGUAUAAGCUGAGGAAGAAUGUGCAUAAGUAGAUUAAAAUGUAUGCUUGUGUAAUACCUAAUACUGAGAACUCAGAAGACAUAACUGUUUUAAUUAAACCAACAAAAUAAAGCUAGUCUCAUUUGCCAAAAUUUACCUAAAUUAUGUAACUUAAAUUCUUAGAAUAUUCAAGCUAGUAUCUAUAAGCAUAUUAAAAGUAGAAAUGCAAUUAUCUUAAUUUCCAGAAAUUUUUGAAUAUUUUAUUUAUAUAAGACUUUAGUUAGUUCUAAGUCAAUCAGAAAAUAGUACCUUUAAAAAUUUUGAUAAUCUAAUUUAGUAAUACCAUCUGGAGGCAGGAAAAUAUUACAUACCCACAGACACAUAAAUAUACAUACAGAUCUAGAGAACUUAUCAUUUUAAUUCUAAAAUCUCAGCCAUAGACCAGGCAUAACACAGAAAUACAUAACUCACUUGUUCCUAUAAAAAGGGCUCUUUUCGUUCCACUGGGUAGAAAUUCUUGAUUGAGUUCAAAAUAGAGAAAAAAAUAGACGAACAAAAAUAACAAACCCAAUUUUCUGGCAUCUUUCUGACGUAACAGAGACACAAUAUCUGCAAACCAUUUAAUUCAUUUACAGAGAUUACCAAGUGACCACAUACACACACACACACACACACAAAUCCAGCACUAGAGAUCAACUGCAUACUCAAUGAAAAUUAAAUUCCUACCAUGCUACCAACAGACAAGAGUCUGGAACAUUGAAUUAGGAAUAGGGCUCACCUUUAGGUCCCUGUAUUGCCAGUCACAAAUGGAGCAUGAAGGCUCCAAGUGUCCUUAUUACCUGGGUGGAGCAGAUGGAGAUCUGAAGGCAUGGUCCCAUUUUGAGUCAUGGCAGCAAUCCUGUCAAAGAAACAGACAAGUUAAAAGAUUGCUUUUAUUUGGGCUAUUGCAAUAGGGAAACCACCCUUAUCUGAAGAUGAUGGGAAUGGCUCAGCCUCUUAGGCAGUUUGGCUUUUAUAGGGAGGGGUAAACAAAUGCAAAUGAUGUGGUUUAACACUGUGGUCAGUUGCAAACUGCAGAUGUCACAGUUUGUUAACUUUCCAAAACAUUUGGAGAUGUUUUUCUCAGUAGUGGUUGUGGUUUUUCUUAGUAAGCUUCGGAGAGCAGAGAUUAUCUCAGCUAAUCAGCUAUGAGACAAAGAACAGGAUGUAGAUUUUUUUGCUUUGUCAGCAGGUUUUGUCAGCAGAUGAAAGGGGACAGUUUGUGGUAGGUCUUGUCACACUUGACCAAAGAUCUUCUAGAAUAGUUUCACACAGAGAUAACAUCAAACAGAAAAACCAGAAACAGGAAGGGGGCUGCGGUCAUUCCCACCCCCACCCCCCACCCCAAGUAAAGCUAAGAGGCUGAGGCAUACCUCCUUGCAGCCUAGCUCACUUACUUGCAUGUGAUGCACUUCCUUCCCAUGCCUGCCUGUCCCAACCCCACCCCACCUUCUUACACAUAGCCUUUCUUGCCCUGUGAAUACCCAUUUCUACACCUCUCUAUUUGCACUGAUGCUGACUCAAUCAGUGUGUCACCUCAUCCCUCCAAGGCUACUGUACUACCUUCCAAAAUGGCUGCCUUCGUUCCACUCUUUUUUCUCACAAUUUAGUUUCCACAGAGAAGCCAGAAUGAACAAAAGUGAAAAUCUGAUUUUGUUACCAACCUGUUCAAAAUUUUUCUGUCUCUCCCUAUUGCCCUUCAAGGAAAGCCUAUGCUACAUAGCACAACAUUCAAACCCUUCAUGUUCCAAGUCACCCCCUUUUUUUGCCAGCCCUUAGCCAACUCUACAUUCCAGCUGUGCAGAAGCUCCAGCUGCUUUCCUACACCCCCUGCAAUUCUCUAUGUCUAGGACUUUGCUUGUGCCUUUCCUUCACCCCCUGCAAUUCUCCAUGUCUAGGAAUUUGCUUGUGCCUUUCCUUCCACCUCCAAUGUCCUCCCUCCAACUGGCUAAGUCCCAAUGUAUGUAUAUAAGAAUUUAGAGGAUACCUCUUCUGGAUUUAUCCCAGGCCCCAACUUCAGCCCCCAGCCUUCCCCAUCACCUUGAAGCUGAGUCUGGCUGAAAUUCCUCUAUUCCCUACCCUUUCCAGUCACAACACCUACCACACUGUUUAGCAAGUUCCUCCUUCUUUUUCUGUCUCAGCAGCUAGACCAGGAGCUCCCUGCAGGUCAAGACCAUGUGUUCUCUGAUGCUUUCUCAUGGCAAGGGGAGACAUAGGGUUGCAGUAGUGAGUGGGCAUCUGUUCUCAGAAGGCAGUGCCUGGAGCACUAUAAGUACUUAAUAAACUCUUGUGAAAUUAAAAAGUGGGUGAAUUCACCAUUUGUGUUUAAAAUUGUGCAAUACACUGGAUUUACAGAACACAUCUCAAAUCCUGUAGAAACAAGACAAACUCAUAUAAAGCAACUAGCAAAAACUGAAGACUCUAAGAGGUAGAAUAUGAAAUAGAAUGAUUUAUGUUAAUCAAUUGUGUUACAUCUCAUGAAACCUAAUGAAUGUUAGAACAUGGUAACUAGCCACUCUGGGGGUCUGGAUAUUCACUUAUUUUAGGAUUGACUUUUUUAACUCAAACCCAGGAGAGAAUUCCUCCUUAAAAGCUAAUUCUUGGGAUACCUUCUGAGCAAACCCCAUACUGAAAUCAGUUUCAUUCCUUUUUAAUUAACCAAUGUGAACAUCCUCUUGGCUUUCAUGACUAAUGGGAUGUAUUCCUCAAAGUCACAUCCACACUCACAACUAUAUUGGCUCCCACACAGUACUCUAUGCAUGCCCAGUACAUAGGAGAUAUACGCAUUAGUAAACUUCUGUUGGUUUUUUGCUCAUUAAUCUAUCUUUUGUUGCAGAGCUUCAACUGAGAAUCUAGAAGAGAGUAGAUGGAAAAAUAUUUUUCCCUCCCCUCCAAAUGCAAGGAUAAUCUUACACGAGUCCAGGAGGAAGGUAAGUAACAUUAAAGAUACAAGAAGAUGAAUGGCUUCAGAUUUUGCCUUUUAGACUUUCAGAAGACAAAGGUUUAGAUGAAAAUCAACACAAAUCUAGGAUAAACAAAGCAAUUUCAAGGAGUGGUAAGUCCUAGAUAUGCUAAUUUUGGUCUCUGCAGUCUCCAUCCUCACUGCAUUUUAUCAGCCCAGGAAGUUUAGCCAGUAGAGGUCCUCACCAAGCCACACAAAUCACAGAGCCUCAGGGUUGCCAGGGACUUGGCUAUCUUGCAGACACAUCCACUAGCUAAGCACUCCCAUGUCCUCUCUGAAUCUCAGCCCAUUUCCAGUCUGUUUGAAACUAGAUAUCUGGACUCAGCAUAUGCUUAAUAGCUGGGUCAUCUCUAGCAAAUUAAAUCACUUCUAUAAGCCUCCCUUUCUACACCUGCACUAUGGGAGUGCUAAUGUCAAUUGACUAUUAAGAUAAUGAAGGUGAUGUUUUCAGCACCAUAUCCAAUCUUUAGUAGAUGCCCAAAGAGUGAUGAUUUAAUCUGAAUUCAGCCAUUCAUCUUGAGCUAUAUCUUUCUCCCAACUCAGCUGUGACAGUUCCAAGACAUCAUCCUGUGUAUCAGACAGAUCUUAUCAUUAAGUCCAGUAGUCCACUAAAUAAUUAUGCAUGUUAUAGCAGCCCAUAGUUAAGGCAGAAAUAAAAAAUAAUAAUAAACUUACCCACAGUGGAGAAAGGAGGAAGUGAAGAAAUCUCAUCUUUCUGGUAUAAUUUUCCAUUGUUUUAUUCCUUGAAAAAUAGCCAGUAUAAUUUUGCAUGGUGCUCAAAAAAUGAAAGUCAACUCACCAAAAGACAAUGAGUUCAAUAUUUCUGUUGAAAAUAAACAUUUGAAAAACAGUAUCUAUUUAUAUUUAUGUAUAUUUAUUCAUCUAUUCAAUUUAUAAUUUCAGGCUCAUUCCACACUAAGUGUUCUGAAUCAAAAAGAUGAACAAAAUACAGUGCCAUUCUUCAAGGACUUCACAGUCUACAGGAAAGGGAUAUAGUUAAACAAAUAACUGCAGAAUUGGAAAUUGGAGCUGAUGUGCUUAGAAGUGUUUUGAACAAGGGGCAUGACUGUGACUCUCUCUGCUUUUGCAAGCUUCAGGAAAACCUUUACUCACAGGUGAGUUCCACCUGAGGUUAAUUUGAAGCUUGUGUUCUGAAUUUGCCAACUAAGAUAAGAAGGAAACAUAUUGAUAGCAAGAAGAAUAGCCUGUGCAAGGAAGUGACGGCCCAAGAAGGAUGUGUUUUCUCAGAAGCCUGGAAAGGCAUCUCCUUCUCAACCUCCAGGGAAAUCAAAAUAGACACUCAGUGAUGGGUCCUGAGCAUUUCCAGAUCCAAGGAAAGUUCUAAAUUACUGGAAUUAGAUCUCAUCCAACCUCAUUUUGCAGAUGAAGAAAUCAAACCCCAGAGAAACUGAGUAGCCUGCUGUUUACAAAGUGAUGGAAUCAUGACUCGUGUCCACGUCAUUCUGCUUGCAAAUCCAGUGUCCUGCUGGACUCUGCUCUCACAUUUUAGUUGGGAGAGGCCUGGGAGAACUGUUUUUGCCUUUAGGCAGACACACAGAUCCUGAGGUGGCCCAGCCUGAUGAAAGCAAAUAUUAAGAAAAUGGAAAUGGUUAGACUCAAUGAUUAUUGUCAUUUUCACUUUACAGUUGAAAAUACAGAGCCUCAGGGUGAAGCCCUAACUUCCCACAGCAGAUGGGGUCUAUGAGGAGGAAGAAGUAGACGCAUGGACCAGUCCUGUUAUGAAGACAAGUUUCAUGGUGCUACUCUGUCUCCAUGAGCUCCUAUGGCCCAGAAGCUGGCAUCCUGUGAGUGGGUAGGUUGAUGAUUAUGCCAACUAACCCUGCAGGGAUUCAUGCUGACUUUGAGAUCCACUCACACAUUAGUACAACUCCAUAGGUUGUAGGACAUUUUCCAGGCUGGAGCAAAUAAGUUAUUGCUUUCAGUAAAUCCCCUCCCUCCUUCCCUUCCUUUUAUCUUAGAUUUGGGAUGAUGGAGUGGGCUGAGUUUUAAGACUAUUCUCCGUCUGUUUAUAAUAUUCUCUGGGUGACCACGUCACCAGAAACCUCUUGCAGUAUUGAAGUCCAAAUCCAACACAACUCUGUCACCAAUCUAUAAGCUCCAUUUACCUCCAUAUUCCUAGUGAGUACAUCAUAACAUCAGAGAUACACAAAAGGCCGGGCGCAGUAGCUCACGCCUGUAAUC
rnacentral:lncRNA from 10 species